rnacentral:rRNA from 14 species
CCGGGGUCAACUCGGAGGAAGGUGGGGAUGACGUCAGGUCAUCAUGGCCCUUAUGGGUAGGGCUACACACGUCAUACAAUGGCCGGUACAGAGGGCUGCCAACCCGCGAGGGGGAGCUAAUCCCAUAAAGCCAGUCGUAGUCCGGAUCGCAGUCUGCAACUCGACUGCGUGAAGUCGGAAUCGCUAGUAAUCGCGUAACAGCAUGACGCGGUGAAUACGUUCCCGGGCCUUGUACACACCGCCCG